UCAUAUUGAGAAAACCAUUGAACAUAAUAGAACAUAAUAAAUCAUUUAACGAGAUAUGCAAUUCGUAACAUAACCAAUUAAUAUUAUACUUUUACUACAGUAUUUUAUUUUUAGGGUUGGUCUCAUCAUCUUCGACUAACUUAAUCGGCUGAUUAUUCCAUUGAAUUUAACUAAUUGCAAGCUGAUUUAAGAAGAAUUAUUCGAACAUGGUUGACAUGCCAAUUUUGCCAGUUUUGCCAGUUUAAUCAAGCUAAUCAAGAUAAUCAAAGAUGGUAAAACUAUAGCAUUGGCAAGAAGAAAACAAUCUGCCGAAUACAUCAUCAUAGACAUCAUAAUCAGUCAUCUUGCAACUGUAAGCAAAAGCCAAUACAAUUAUUGCAAUUGUUUGCGAAAAGGAUUCUUACAAUGGGCAAGGGCAUCUAUGUUUUGCGGUGUAAGAAUCCAUCCCUUCAAAUUAGCCUUACCUCAAUUUAGUCUUUCUAAAUUUGAACAAUAAUUCUUUAAUUCUAUUGCGAUUGCAUCUAAUAUGUUUUGACCCGUUCCUGCUAAAUCUAAAUCACGCAUCUGUCUAUUUCUCUGCAGUAUUUCACAUAAAGUAUUAGUUUCUAAUGUGCAUAUCUCUCGAAGAUGUAAACAUUCUAAAAACUGUAAAUUUUUUAGAUAUGAAAUACCUUUGUUUGUUA